UAAGAAAAGUCCUGCAUCUUCCCCUCCUCUGAAGACCAGUCAAUCCAUUUCUUUCUCACAUGGUCAGGUGUGUGGGGAUGUACACAGGCAGAAACACGCAAAACACACUGAUUUCUUCUCAAGUGUCCUGCACAAGACAUUGACAUUUGUUAACACCAUUGUAAAAAGAUGCCGCGGCGUAUGCUUCACAUUCUAGAUUUUCUACAGCACCUGCUGAUGAUCGAGCCCCCUUUUAUGUGUGAGUAUCGGUGAUUCAAAAGCUCAUUAUGGCUGUGUGUUACAACUUGUCUGUGAAAACCAUUUCAUGCUUUUAUAACUUCCCAGUGCAGGGAUACAUCCAGAUAAUAGAUUCAGUGUAUACAUUUUGCACCCCCCCCCCCAUUUAUUUCAGAACAUAAAUCCCAAAAGAACUAUGAGAUUGUUAUAUUUUCACAUUGCACUGCUGAUUGUGAACUCAUUUGAAAAUCACAUUUUCCAAC